rnacentral:lncRNA from 1 species
CGGCACCGUCGCCUACUCCGACCUCGGCGGCUUCAAGUACCUCGUCUACGCCAACGGCCUCUGCGCGGCCUACUCCCUCGUCACGGCCUUCUACACCGCCGUGCCCAGGCCAGCCACCGUGUCACGCUCCUGGGUCGUCUUCCUCCUCGACCAGGUCCGACUUCUUGUGCCUUCCGAUCCGUCUCUGCUCUGCUCUCUCACUCUUCACUUUUACUCACUCAGCUGGUAGCAAGCAGCAUGUUGAAAGUACUCUGAAGAAUGUCUUUUCUCUUCUUUCUUUUGCCAACAACACGUGACGAUUUUUAUGAGCAACCAUGUUAGAAGAACAGAAUUUUUUCUUGCGCUGGACACAUAUUUGUUGUUGCGACUUACAAUUGUCAGUACUCUUAGAUUAUACUUUGAUAUUCCAAGAAAAUCGCUUGGUUCGUUUGAUUGGAAUUUCGGCUCUGUUGGAGCCUGGAAAGAGGUGAGCCAAGGGAUUUUAGAGGAUCUGUUCGUUUUAAAAGGUUCAUGCCAAAUUCGUGCGUGCUUGCCUGAAUACCGGAUUGGACUUUAGUGCACCGUGAGCAGAGGAACAAACGAAAUUAACACAUCGAAACAGAAUUUAGCUUUGCCGGUUCUAAACAGUUCAAUGGUGGAUUUGUUCCAACUCUGUUCACUGUUGUUCAGAGUUUGAAGCAUUUAUGUACAAAACUACAGCUUAACCUGUUGUUAAUUUCACUACUCAAAUACUGGCUGAUCCUGUGAUCGCCAAUCACAGAUCAUUGCAGAAGGGAACAUGGCGACUAUAUUUGGGGAGAGAAUGAGACUGAUCCUUGGCAUGCUGUGUACUGCAGGUGUUCACGUACCUGAUCCUGGCCGCCGGCGCGGCGGCAGCGGAGCUCCUGUACCUGGCCUACAACGGCGACAAGGAGGUGACGUGGAGCGAGGCGUGCGGCGUGUUUGGCGUCUUCUGCCGCAAGGCUCGGACCUCGGUGGCCAUCACCUUCGGCUCCGUGCUCUGCUUCAUCCUCCUCUCCCUCAUCUCCUCUUACCGCCUCUUCAGCGCCUACGAGGCGCCCCCGUCGUCGGCACUCGGCAACAAGGGCGUCGAGAUCGCUGCCUACCCGCGCUGAAGCCGCCGCCAGCGACCAGAGGCUGCCUUCCAUCCAGCGUGGUGGCAUAAUCUCUAUUAUGUGUAGGUGAUCAAGUAAUAAGUAAGG